AAUCAACGCUGGCGGCGUGCCUCAGACAUGCAAGUCGAACGAGAACCUCCCUUCGGGGAGGGGACAGUGGCGCACGGGUGAGUAACACGUGGGUAAUUUACCUUUGGGUGGGGAACAACAGCCGGAAACGGCUGCUAAUACCGCAUAAUGCAGCGGCUCGACAUCGAGACAGUUGUUAAAGCGGGGGAUCGCAAGACCUCGCGCCUGAAGAGAAGCCUGCGGCGGANAGUCUAGUUGGUAGGGUAAUGGCCUACCAAGGCGACGAUCUGUAACCGGCCUGAGAGGGCGGUCGGUCACACUGACACUGACAUACGGGUCAGACUCCUACGGGGAGGCAGCAGUCGGGAAUUUUGGGCAAUGGGCGAAAGCCUGACCCAGCAA
rnacentral:rRNA from 1 species